rnacentral:rRNA from 1 species
AACGAACGCUGGCGGCAGGCCUAAUACAUGCAAGUCGAACGCUCCAGCAAUGGAGAGUGGCAGACGGGUGAGUAACGCGUGGGAACCUUCCCAGUGGUACGGAAUAGCUCAGGGAAACUUGAGGUAAUACCGUAUACGCCCUUCGGGGGAAAGAUUUAUCGCCAUUGGAUGGGCCCGCGUCGGAUUAGCUAGUUGGUGGGGUAAUGGCGCACCAAGGCGACGAUCCGUAGCUGGUCUGAGAGGAUGAUCAGCCACACUGGGACUGAGACACGGCCCAGACUCCUACGGGAGGCAGCAGUAGGGAAUAUUGGACAAUGGGCGCAAGCCUGAUCCAGCCAUGCCGCGUGAGUGACGAAGGCCUUCGGGUUGUAAAGCUCUUUUGGCGGGGACGAUAAUGACGGUACCCGCAGAAUAAGCUCCGGCUAACUUCGUGCCAGCCGCCGCCGUAAAAC